GACGACCGCUGCCGGCGUGCUUAAUACAUGCAAGUAGACCGCUGAAGCUUGGUGCUUGCACCGAGCGGAUGAGUUGCGAACGGGUGAGUAACGCGUAGGUAACCUGCCUGGUAGCGGGGGAUAACUAUUGGAAACGAUAGCUAAUACCGCAUAAAAUGGAUUAUCGCAUGAUAAUCGAUUGAAAGGUGCAAAUGCAUCACUACCAGAUGGACCUGCGUUGUAUUAGCUAGUUGGUGGGGUAACGGCUCACCAAGGCGACGAUACAUAGCCGACCUGAGAGGGUGAUCGGCCACACUGGGACUGAGACACGGCCCAGACUCCUACGGGAGGCAGCAGUAGGGAAUCUUCGGCAAUGGACGGAAGUCUGACCGAGCAACGCCGCGUGAGUGAAGAAGGUUUUCGGAUCGUAAAGCUCUGUUGUAAGAGAAGAACGAGUGUGAUAGUGGAAAGUUCACACUGUGACGGUAUCUUACCAGAAAGGCG
rnacentral:rRNA from 1 species